UUAGUUGAAACCAAAUUUAGAGGUAUGUCACUGUUAAUGACAAAAUUGAAAUACUUUCCAAUUAAA
rnacentral:tRNA from 1 species